rnacentral:lncRNA from 1 species
AACUUCUCUCUUCUUUUCCUAUUUCACAUCAAGAUAAGGAUGGAUCCAAGUCGUUGGCUGCAUGCAGGGAUUCGUGGGCUGCUGUGGUUCGGAUCUUGAUACGGAGAAGCUUGGCUGCGGAUGUUGAAGGCUGCGGAUUCGUUGCAGAAGGCUGGGUGUUUGAGGUGUUGUAGCUUAUCCCAUUGACAUGAAUCCAGGGAAUGAAGGAACCGAGCUUCUUCAAUGCGUGGGAGAAGAUUCUGGAUGCGGCUGAGACAUGGAAACUGUCGACGUGGAUGCAGGGGACUAUGCUCACGGCUGAAGCAUGGGAAAACAGUGGGUUUGAGAGGAUCUCGGAGGGGAAGAAUAACAUGGAAUUCGGAAGAGAUGAAGCUGGGACGGCUAGCAGUUGGGAUGCGAAUGGAUCACAGAGGAAGUGGAUGGGAUGAAUCCGGAAUGCUGGGAUGAAUCAAGGGGAGUUCGGCUGAGAUUGGUUCCGAAAUAGGGGAAGGCUGUGACAGACGUGGAUGAUGGAAUCAAUCCGAAUGGCUAAUGCUGCGGAUGUGGAGAAGGAAAUAUGAUGCAUGGAAUCAUUCGUUGAUAGGCUGGGAGAUGAUCCGAAAGAAGGGGAACUCAUCCUCCGAUCCGUGAAGACGUUGAAUCCUGG